ACAGGAGCUAGGAGAACACAGAGAGACAGUCAGUGAACUGGUGAUGCUGAGGAAUACCACAAGGAGCCAUGGGCAAUGUGGACAAAAGCUGCAAUGUAUGGAGUUGGGCAGUUGACAAGCAGGGACUGAGGGGCUGCUGGACCAUUCUCCUUGGUGUUGAAGGAAGGAAAAGGAGAGGGAAAGAAAGAAAUGAAAGAGCCUUGGCUUUCUAGCUAGGGCAACCUCAUCAAUGUGAAAUAAUCAUUUGAAGAAUCAGU